rnacentral:rRNA from 1 species
GAUGAACGCUAGCUACAGGCUUAACACAUGCAAGUCGAGGGGAAACGACAUCGAAAGCUUGCUUUUGAUGGGCGUCGACCGGCGCACGGGUGAGUAACGCGUAUCCAACCUGCCCACCACUUGGGGAUAACCUUGCGAAAGUAAGACUAAUACCCAAUGACGUCUCUAGAAGACAUCUGAAAGAGAUUAAAGAUUUAUCGGUGAUGGAUGGGGAUGCGUCUGAUUAGCUUGUUGGCGGGGUAACGGCCCACCGAGGCGACGAUCAGUAGGGGGUCUGAGAGGAAGGUCCCCCACAUUGGAACUGAGACACGGUCCAAACUCCUACGGGAGGCAGCAGUGAGGAAUAUUGGUCAAUGGGCGAGAGCCUGAACCAGCCAAGUAGCGUGCAGGAUGACGGCCCUAUGGGUUGUAAACUGCUUUUAUAAGGGAAUAAAGUGAGUCUCGUGAGACUUUUUGCAUGUACCUUAUGAAUAAGGACCGGCUAAUUCCGUGCCAGCCGCCGCAGUAA